UUUGAGAGUGAUGACAUGGAUAUCCAUCGCGAUCAGAUUAUGGGAUGGAUGAAAGAGUUACAGAACAAAUGGAGAGGACAAUUGCAUGCAACAUAUGUGAAGGGUAAGCCAAUCCAAGAGGCUUAAGAAUGUGCCCAAGGGGGUAGACAAAAAACAAUGGGAGUUGUUGGUAAAGGAACAUUUUUCUACAGAAAGUUUUCAGGCGAGAAGUAACAGGAAUGCAGCAAAUAGAACUAAGUUGAAGAUGCUUCAUCAUAUUGGUAGCAAGCCAAUCAGAGAGAUUAUUUAUCAAAAGGGCGAAAAAGAUGGCAAACCACCAGAUUUGGCAACUAUUUUCUUCGAGACUCGCAAGAAGAAUAACACACUUAUUGAACCAGAAACAAUCGAGAAACAUGCUCAAAUCAAGGAAUUGGUGCAGUCUGAACCGUCAUUUCCUAACAUAGAGAUUGUAGAAAAAUGCUUUGGACCUCAAAGUCGUAGUCAU